rnacentral:lncRNA from 1 species
UAAUGAUAGCAUUUACCUCCCAAGGUUGCACCAGUUAGAUGGAUGGAGUGAAGAGGCUAGAGUCAGGUGGAGCUUGGUUUAAAUCUAGCCUUAGACGCUUACCAGUUAUAUGAUCCUGGGUUCACAAGUCUUUAACCUUCCAAAUGAGCAUGAUGCCUGUACUUAUCACCAUCACAUCUAAUAAUUAGAAAUCGCUCAAGAAAGAAGGAGGAGGGGGAAGAUAAUCACCCCAAGGUCCUAAAGCACAAGACAGGUCCUCCAGGAAUUAACCCAUGAUCUUGACAACUCAGCCAUAUGAAGAUAGAUGGAUAAAGGCAGAGUACCAAACCAGCUGCUAUUUGACUGUGGGAAAAUUCCAAGCCAGAGAAACAUUUAUAAGGACACUGUUGGGAAGCCCAGCAGCAAAUAGAUCAACUUGGCAGGCAACCAUCAGAAUUGUGGAUCCAUCUUGUCAUCUGCAGAUGAAAAAAUCACCACAUAAAGACAAUUACAGUCAACUCCUGAUUAUUUACCAAGUGGUUAUAAAGCUAUUGAAAAAGCAACAUGGUAUGGUGAAGAACAUAGUAGAUUUGUGUUUAAGAAUACCUCGGUUCAAAUUCUACCACAGACAUUUAUAAGGUGUGUGACAUAUGGAAAAUCAUUUUGUUUCUCAGUUCUUCAGUUGUAAAUUGGAUGGUGGGGGUAAUGUUAUCCCAUACUCAUCAAGUUGUUGUGAGGAUGAAAACAUCACAUAUAUAAAGUUCAUUGCAAACCCUAUGGUACUAUAUAAAUGUGAAGUAUACCAUUUGUGUAGUAUACUAAUUUAGAUGUUCAUCUCUGUUGCUCCUCCUGUCCUGAUUGAUUACUAUUCUUAUCUAUUUCAUUGCCCAAUCACCCCUCUACUAAUGGGGUGAAGAGACAACACAAGAGGAUUAAGCUCACAUCACUCACUUUGCCAGUGAUGACUCUGGUCUAGGAAGGAAGAGGAUGAACAUUUAAAGCUAUGGACUAGAAUAAUUAAGGAAGUAUCUGAGCAUUCCUUUUUCUAAUGAUCUGCCAUUCCCAUUGCCAUGGAUGAUUCUGAAAUGACCACACAUAUAAAAUGUAAGUAAUGCUAGAUAUUCAAUUACUAAGAAGCAUUACUAUAUCUUGGUCAGAGUUGUAUUGUAGUUAUGGUAUGUGGAAAACAGUGAUGAUGAAAGGUAAUAAAUAACCAGAGAAGGUACCUUUGGCA